GACGAACGCUGGCGGCGUGCUUAACACAUGCAAGUCGAACGGAAAGGCCCAGCUUGCUGGGUGCUCUCGUGGCGCACGGGUGAGUAACACGUGGGUGUACUGCCCCUUACUUUGGGAUAUGCCUUCGAGACUGGGUCUAAUAUAGGGUAUGGCAAUCGUUUAGUGUUGGUUGUGGAAAGAUUUUUCGGUUGGGGAUGGACCCGCGGCUUACCAGCUUGUUGGUGGGGUAAUGGCCUACCAAGGCGUCGACGGGUAGCCGGCCUGAGAGGGUGGGCGGCCACAUUGGGACUGAGAUACGGCCCAGACUCCUACGGGAGGCAGCAGUGGGGAAUAUUGCACAAUGGGCGCAAGCCUGAUGCAGCGACGCCGCGUGCGGGAUGACGGCCUUCGGGUUGUAAACCGCUUUCGCCUGUGACGAAGCGUGGGUGACGGUACUUGGAAAAGAAGCACCGGCUAACUACGUG
rnacentral:rRNA from 1 species